rnacentral:rRNA from 1 species
CCUACGGGUGACAGCAGUGAGGAAUAUUGGUCAAUGGCCGCAGGGCUGAACCAGCCAAGUCGCGUGAGGGAUGACGGUCCUAUGGAUUGUAAUCCUCUUUUGUCAGGGAGCAAAGGGCGCCACGUGUGGCGCUUUGCGAGUACCUGAAGAAAAAGCAUCGGCUAACUCCGUGCCAGCAGCCGCGGUAAUACGGAGGAUGCGAGCGUUAUCCGGAUUUAUUGGGUUUAAAGGGUGCGCAGGCGGAAUGUCAAGUCAGCGGUAAAAUUUCGGGGCUCAACCCCGUCGUGCCGUUGAAACUGGCGUUCUUGAGUGAGCGAGAAGUAUGCGGAAUGCGUGGUGUAGCGGUGAAAUGCAUAGAUAUCACGCAGAACUCCGAUUGCGAAGGCAGCAUACCGGCGCUCAACUGACGCUCAUGCACGAAAGCGUGGGUAUCGAACAGGAUUAGAUACCCCGGUAGUC